AUUGAACGCUGGCGGCAGGCCUAACACAUGCAAGUCGAACGAGUGGCGCACGGGUGAGUCAUGUCUGGGAAACUGCCCGAUGGAGGGGGAUAACUACUGGAAACGGUAGCUAAUACCGCAUACCAUCAGAUGUGCCCAGAUGGGAUUAGCUUGUUGGUGGGGUAACGGCUAACCAAGGCGACGAUCCGUAGCUGGUCUGAGAGGAUGACCAGCCACACGGGAACGGAGACACGGCCCAGACUCCUACGGGAGGCAGCAGUGGGGAAGAUGGCACAAGGGGCGCAAGCCUGAUGCGGCCAUGCCGCGGGGAUGAAGAAGUCCUUCGGGUUGUAAAGUACUUUCAGCGGGGAGGCGUUACCCGCAGAAGAAGCACCGGCUAACUCCGUGCCAGCAGCCGCGGUAAUAC
rnacentral:rRNA from 1 species